rnacentral:rRNA from 1 species
CGGCGAUGUCUGAUUAGCUAGUUGGUGGGGUAAAGGCUUACCAAGGCAACGAUCAGUAGUUGGUCUGAGAGGACGGCCAACCACACUGGGACUGAGACACGGCCCAGACUCCUACGGGAGGCAGCAGUGGGGAAUUUUGGACAAUGGGCGAAAGCCUGAUCCAGCCAUGCCGCGUGAGUGAAGAAGGCCUUCGGGUUGUAAAGCUCUUUUAGUCGGAAAGAAAGAGUUGCAAUGAAUAAUUGUGAUUUAUGACGGUACCGACAGAAAAAGCACCGGCUAACUACGUGCCAGCAGCCGCGGUAAUACGUAGGGUGCGAGCGUUAAUCGGAAUUACUGGGCGUAAAGGGUGCGCAGGCGGUCUUGCAAGUCAGAUGUGAAAGCCCCGGGCUUAACCUGGGAAUUGCGUUUGAAAC